AAUUACCGGAACCAAGACUGCGAAGACUCCGUCUCGAAGUUUCCCCCGACGCGCCACCCCUAUACUGUAACCGUGUAGCUAAUUGUGCAUGACCAUCAUAAUAUAAUGUUACCCAUUCAUCGAUGGAUGUAUUCCCGGGCAAGGGCUCUGUUUGCCCCCCUCCCCCGUCGCGCUGGCACUGCUGGUAUUGCUUCGGCAAUAAAACCCUGGAACA